rnacentral:misc_RNA from 1 species
GUGAAUCAUCAAAUUUUUGAACGCAUAUUGCGCUCUCUGGUAUUCCGGAGAGUAUGCCUAUUUGAGAGUCAGUUAAAAUAAUAUAAGUUCCAAUAUGUCUCGAAAUGUGAAAUGUGUGGUUCAUUUUUUGUAGUCACCUAAAAUCCAAUGCAAGCUCAUUUUCGUCUAUUGCGUGAUACUUUCAGGUACCUCUGGAC